rnacentral:rRNA from 1 species
GAGUUUGAUUAUGGCUCAGGAGGAACGCUGGCGGCGUGCCUAACACAUGCAAGUCGAGCGAGAAAUAGUCAGACGGAGAUUUCGGUUGAAGGAUGGUUAUGGAAAGCGGCGGACGGGUGAGUAACGCGUAGGCAACCUGCCUCAUGCAGAGGGAUAGCCUCGGGAAACCGGGAUUAAAACCUCAUAAGGCCAAGGGGACACAUGUUUUCGUGGUCAAAGAUUUAUCGGCAUGAGAUGGGCCUGCGUCUGAUUAGCUGGUUGGUGAGGUAACGGCUCACCAAGGCGACGAUCAGUAGCCGACCUGAGAGGGUAAACGGCCACAUUGGAACUGAGACACGGUCCAAACUCCUACGGGAGGCAGCAGUGGGGAAUAUUGCACAAUGGGCGAAAGCCUGAUGCAGCAACGCCGCGUGAGCGAAGAAGGCCUUUGGGUCGUAAAGCUCUGUCGAUAGGGAAGAAAAAGG